rnacentral:rRNA from 1 species
UACGUAGGUGGCAAGCGUUGUCCGGAUUUAUUGGGUUUAAAGGGUGCGUAGGCGGUUUUAUAAGUCAGUGGUGCAAUACGGCAGCUUAACUGUCGAGGUGCAAUUGAUACUGGAGGACUUGAGUACAGACGAGGUAGGCGGAAUUGACGGUGUAGCGGUGAAAUGCAUAGAUAUCGUCAAGAACACCGAUAGCGAAGGCAGCUUACUAGACUGUAACUGACGCUGAGGCACGAAAGUGUGGGGAUCAAACAGG